rnacentral:rRNA from 1 species
UACAGAGGGUGCAAGCGUUAAUCGGAAUUACUGGGCGUAAAGCGUGCGUAGACGGUUACGUAAGUCGGGUGUGAAAGCCCCGGGCUCAACCUGGGAAUUGCAUUCGAGACUGUGUAGCUAGGGUGCGGAAGAGGGAAGCGGAAUUUCCGGUGUAGCGGUGAAAUGCGUAGAUAUCGGAAGGAACAUCAGUGGCGAAAGCGGCUUCCUGGUCCAGCACCGACGUUCAGGCACGAAAGCGUGGGGAGCAACCAGG